rnacentral:rRNA from 1 species
GAUGAACGCUGGCGGCGUGCCUAAUACAUGCAAGUCGAGCGAACAGACGAGGAGCUUGCUCCUCUGACGUUAGCGGCGGACGGGUGAGUAACACGUGGAUAACCUACCUAUAAGACUGGGAUAACUUCGGGAAACCGGAGCUAAUACCGGAUAAUAUAUUGAACCGCAUGGUUCAAUAGUGAAAGACGGUUUUGCUGUCACUUAUAGAUGGAUCCGCGCCGCAUUAGCUAGUUGGUAAGGUAACGGCUUACCAAGGCAACGAUCCGUAGCCGACCUGAGAGGGUGAUCGGCCACACUGGAACUGAGACACGGGCCAGACUCCUACGGGAGGCAGCAGUAGGGAAUCUUCCGCAAUGGGCGAAAGCCUGACGGAGCAACGCCGCGUGAGGGAUGAAGGUCUUCGGAUCGUAAAACUCUGUUAUUAGGGAAGAACAAAUGUGUAAGUAACUAUGCACGUCUUGACGGUACCUAAUCAGAAAGCCACGGCUAACUACGUG